UGGAGAAGCUCUGGGAGAGGCAGGAACAAAGGGAGUUCCAAGGCGUGUGUUCCAAAUCUAAUCUUUGUCCCCCAGACAUUGGGGGGCGGGGGCAGGGCGGGGCUCGACAUUGUGCCUGCUCUUUCCUACCCACUGGUGGUUUUUAAAUCUUUGCUUUACCUCACUCUUUGGAGUUCACCUUUUACAGAAGAACCCCUGCUCAUCCCCCCCACCCCAGAGACUUCGCAGGUGACCCCCAGGAUUUUACACGCCUCGAGGACAAGGACGUGUUUUAUCUCCCGAAUCUUAAAGUCCAAGCGGCACUCUUCUCCCCAGAAUCCUCACUUAAUCACUGAGGAUAAGUGGGACUGGACUCGCCCAGCACAGCUCCCCAUGGCUUCUGCAAGUCAGCUAAUGAGGCGAUUAAGUCAUUAAGGAGAUAUGCGCAUCUGAAAAGCUUCAACCGAGCCACUCCAGGAGGGAUAAAGACCAAACUGGAGCUUUCUUCCCACCAGUCUACCCUUAUACUGAAGAGGUGAUUAAUCCAUUUAACUCAGCCUUGCCUUCCUUUUUUUUCUGUAGAAAAGGAGAAACUAAAGCUGGGAAGCUUUUCAGGAAGUCUUUGAACAAGGUAGAAUAACAAAUGCCUCUUUCUCGGGGGUACCUUGUGAAGAGCAGGAUUUCAAUAGCCAGAGGCCAAAAGGACUUCAGUCAGUGGCCCAGGGCGGGAACACAAUGGUGACUUCGGAUUUGGGGAUUUGCCUAUGGGAUCAUUAGCCUGAUUAGUAAUCCAAUGCCUUUUGAUGUGGACCUUCUCAGGCACACCUUUUGUCUUUGCUAGAUGAAGACAGGGCAUCUUGUGCUGUGUUUUCUCCCAGGUGACUCCUCGGGGGUUCCGUGGAGGUAGCCAAAGCCCUUGUACAAAGAGAUGCUCCCUGGGCUUAUCUCCCUAACGCAGCAAAUCCAAUCUUCUGACUCUUCAUCUUUGGAGGGGAGCCUCACUCAGAAGGAGGAUGGGUGGGGGGCAGGAAAUGGUGGGUUUUUUUAAAGUCAGUCAUAUUAUGAGACUGAAGACACU
rnacentral:lncRNA from 1 species